AGAUGUUAAAAAGCCCUUGUUAAAAUGCAUUUACUUGUCUAUCAAAUAGAAGCAAUAAAGCUAGAGUAAAUCAACACAAAUAUGUCAAAAAAUACCUGAACUCCUUUUUGUCUUAGAAUAUUUUGCAAGAUUGCAAAUUUAAACUCUUCAAAGCAGAAAUAAAGUGUUACUCAGUCAAACAUAUUCAAUUUGCAUUCUCUUUCUCUUUUUAUGGGAAUUGAUUAAUGAGAGCAAUGUGAAACUAAAAGACUUAA
rnacentral:lncRNA from 1 species